AUUGAACGCUGGCGGCAGGCCUAACACAUGCAAGUCGAGCGAGCGGAGGACGGGUGAGUAAUGUAUGGGGACUGCCCGAUAGAGGGGGAUAACUACUGGAAACGGUGGCUAAUACCGCAUACUGUCGGAAAAACCAUAUGGGAUUAGAUAGUAGGUAAGGUAAUGGCUUACCUAGGAGACGAUCCCUAGCGGGUCUGAGAGGAUGAUCAGCCACACUGGGACUGAGACACGGCCCAGACUCCUACGGAGGCAGCAGUGGUGAAUAUUGCACAAGGGGCGAAAGCCUGAUGCAGCCAUGCCGCGUGUAUGAAGAAGGCCCUAGGGUUGUAAAGUACUUUCAGUCGGGAGGCGUUACCGACAGAAGAAGCACCGGCUAACUCCGUGCCAGCAGCCGCGGUAAUAC
rnacentral:rRNA from 1 species